rnacentral:rRNA from 1 species
GACGAACGCUGGCGGCGUGCUUAACACAUGCAAGUCGAACGGUGAAGCGCUUUCCUUUUUGGUUGGUGUGGAGGCGAGGCGAACGGGUGAGUAACACGUGCGUAACCUGCCCCCUUCUUCUGGAUAACCGCAUGAAAGUGUGGCUAAUACGGGAUAUUCUGCGCCUGCUGCAUGGUGGGUGUGGGAAAGCUUGUGCCUUUGGGUGUUCUCGGUGGGGGAUGGGCUCGCGGCCUAUCAGCUUGUUGGUGGGGUGCUGGCCUACCAAGGCGGGGGCGGGUAGCCGGUCUGAGAGUAGGGACGGUCACACUGGGACUGGGACACGGGGGAGACUGCUACGGGAGAGAGCAGUAGGGAAGAGAGCACAAUGGGCGCAAGCCUGAUGCAGCGACGCCUCAUGAGGGAUGGAGGCCUGCGGGUUGUGGACCUCUUUCGCCAGUGAAGCAUGCCUGCGCCUUGUGGGUGGGUUGACGGUAGCUGGAAAAGAAGCACCGGCUAACUACGUG